rnacentral:RNase_P_RNA from 1 species
AAAGUUAAUUAAAACAGUCGCUUUUAUUAUUUAUUAAUAAAAUAAAAGAGGAAAGUCCGGACUCCAUUGGGUUAUAGUGCCAGAUAAUUACUGGGAAGUGUGAACUUACGAAUAGUGCAACAGAAAAAAUACCGCCAAAAAUAUAUUUUGGUAAGGGUGAAAAGGUAUGGUAAAAGCAUACCGAUAUAUUAGUAAUAAUAUAUGUCAAUGUAAACUCCACUAGGAGCAAGGCUAAAUAAGAUUUGUAUAAACCCGUACUAUAAAUCUGGGUAAGCUGCUUGAAAUAAUAAGUGAUUAUUAUUCUAGAUAAAUGACUGUUCUUGACAGAAUCCGGCUUAAUAAUUAUCUUUAUUA